GACGAACGCUGGCGGCGUGCCUAAUACAUGCAAGUCGAGCGGACCGAAUGGAAGCUUGCUUUCAUUCGGUUAGCGGCGGACGGGUGAGUAACACGUGGGUAACCUGCCCGUAAGACCGGGAUAACUCCGGGAAACCGGGGCUAAUACCGGAUAACACCGAAGACCGCAUGGUCUUCGGUUGAAAGGUGGCUUCGGCUACCACUUACGGAUGGGCCCGCGGCGCAUUAGCUAGUUGGUGAGGUAACGGCUCACCAAGGCGACGAUGCGUAGCCGGCCUGAGAGGGUGACUGGCCACACUGGGACUGAGACACGGCCCAGACUCCUACGGGAGGCAGCAGUAGGGAAUCUUCCGCAAUGGACGAAAGUCUGACGGAGCGACGCCGCGUGAGCGAAGAAGGUCUUCGGAUCGUAAAGCUCUGUUGUUAGGGACGAAGAAGUACCGUUCGAAUAGGGCGGUACGGUGACGGUACCUAACGAGAAAGCCCCGGCUAACUACGU
rnacentral:rRNA from 1 species